AAAAAUUUAGUUAAAGGAUAUAACAUUAGUGUGUCAAACUAAAAUUAUUGAGUAAAUAAUUUUUA
rnacentral:tRNA from 1 species